GGCAGGUCUUCAGUUUUGAUAUCACAGUAAUAACAGCCUCAGAGGAUAAGUUGGGAUAUGUCCCCUCUUCUUUUUGUCAAGGCAUACUAUAUAGCUCUAGCCCAGGACCUGAGAGGAGAGAGAGCUUUAUGUUCUUGCAUACACCUGUGAAGAAUGGAGAUUCUGCCAUGCUGAGUUGGGAAGAGAGAAGAAGUGUGAUUGAUUUGCUUGAGUGCCAAGAGAAGUAUACUGGCCUUAUAAUUUGCCUUAUUAUUCAAUCAUCCCCCUCUUGGCAAAGUAAAUUAGCACAGACGCCUGUAACAGAAGGAGCUUCUCCAAAAAAAUGAAGACAUCUGUCUUUUUGAAGAGGGACAGAGAGCCUACAAAAGGAAUGAAACAAAAAGAAAGAUUCCCUAAUGCAGGCAGAGCAAAGCAAGAGGUAGAAGUGAUUCUGACUUCAAUCUAUUCAAAGCCCACAUGUUUAUUGCUACAUCAACACUACUACAGGGAAGGAGGAAAAAUUAGGUGGCAUGUCACAUACAGAAAGCUGUCCAAGAUAGGAAAAGAAUGGAGGAAAAUAUUUCAGUACAAAUGUUGAAAUCACUGUACAUCUUAGAAUGACUAUGAAUUACCUGACUUCUAUCCAGAUUAAAAAUCAGACAGAAACUAGAUAUUCAGUGUUGAUAUAAUUGAUAUA